rnacentral:lncRNA from 1 species
AUCACUUUCAUUUAUAGACACAACUUUUAUUUUGGUUAAACAAACUAUCCUAAUGUUUCCCAUAAACAUAAUUUUAAAAGUCUUAUACAAAAUUGAGAUCUUUUACACUUGAUACAGUUUAACAAUAAGGAAACCUGGCUUAAUUUUCAGAAUUAACUAUUUCCAGAAAUGACAAACAAAUCAUUUAUGGAACAGAACCAUUAAUUAAGAGGAAAGUUAACAAAAGAUAUUGAACAAGUAAUUGACAAACUGUAUUGCUAACCAGUGGCAGAACCAGAACAUGUUGUAAGGGGGGCCCACUGACUGACCUAAGUUGGGCUUACUCCAGUCACACUUCAGUGUUUCCCUAUAUAAUCAACCAAAUCAACCCAGCCCGGCUGUCCCCCUCUGGAUCGGACAUUGCUAACAAACAAUGUCAUAAUUGUUUGAAGACUUCUAUGUUUUGGAAUUUUUUAUUUAUUCUGUUAAAUUCAACUGCAAUGUUGUAAACUGUGAGCAUUUAUAAAAAUCAACAUUUACAUUUUGUAAAAACAUUACAGCAUGGCUUUAUUUUUUCAUAGUUUAUUGUUUAAGAUUUGUUUGUUUUAUUUGUUAUAUAUGUUGUUUAUUUUUGUUCUGAUGAAUAUAUUAUUAAUGCUGAUGAAUUAUUUAUUAAGCGUUUUCUUCUUCUUUCUGUAACUUCCUCCUGUGGUUAGGAG